UACGAAGGGGGCUAGCGUUGUUCGGAAUUACUGGGCGUAAAGCGCACGUAGGCGGAUAUUUAAGUCAGGGGUGAAAUCCCGGGGCUCAACCCCGGAACUGCCUUUGAUACUGGGUAUCUCGAGUCCGAGAGAGGUGAGUGGAAUUCCGAGUGUAGAGGUGAAAAUUCGUAGAUAUUCGGAAGAACACCAGUGGCGAAAGGCGGCUCACUGGCCCGGUACUGACGCUGAGGUGCGAAAGCGUGGGGAGCAAACAGGG
rnacentral:rRNA from 1 species